GGUGAACGCUGGCGGCGUGCCUAACACAUGCAAGUCGAGCGGGUACCCGCAAGGGUACCAGCGGCGCACGGGUGAGUAACACGUGGGUAAUCUACCCCUCGGAGGGGGAUAACUGGGGGAAACCCCGGCUAAUACCCCAUACGAUCCGGCAACGAAGGUUGCUGGAUGAAAGGGGCGUUUGCUCCGCCGAGGGAUGAGCCCGCGGCCCAUCAGGUAGUUGGUGGGGUAAUGGCCCACCAAGCCUACGACGGGUAGCCGGCCUGAGAGGGUGGUCGGCCACAAGGGCACUGAGACACGGGCCCUACUCCUACGGGAGGCAGCAGUGGGGAAUCUUGGACAAUGGGCGAAAGCCUGAUCCAGCGACGCCGCGUGGGGGAUGAAGCCCUUCGGGGUGUAAACCCCUGUUGCGAGGGAGGAAUAAGGCCUGGAGGAAAUGCCAGGCCGAUGACUGUACCUCGCGAGGAAGCCCCGGCUAACUACGUGCCAGCAGCCGCGGUAAUACGUAGGGGGCGAGCGUUACCCGGAUUCACUGGGCGUAAAGCGGGUGUAGGCGGCUCGGUAAGUCGGGUGUGAAAUCCCACAGCUCAACUGUGGAAUUGCGCCCGAAACUGCUGAGCUUGGGGCCGGUAGAGGGAGACGGAACUGCCGGUGUAGGGGUGAAAUCCGUAGAUAUCGGCAGGAAUGCCGGUGGGGAAGCCGGUCUCCUGGGCCGCGCCCGACGCUGAGACCCGAAAGCUAGGGGAGCAAACC
rnacentral:rRNA from 1 species